GUCUUUUUUAUUCUCAACUAACUCUGUCAAACAAACAAGCGUAAACAUCAAGGCCUUGCGACCUUGUGCUAAUGUUGUGAAAUGCUACGCACAGUUACGCACGCAGCACUCGCAAAGAUUUGUAAUGAUCCUUCCGCAGGUUCACCUACGGAAA
rnacentral:misc_RNA from 1 species